GGCUAAAACAGUCAGGAUGUUGGCUUAGAAGCAGCCAUCAUUUAAAGAAAGCGUAAUAGCUCACUGAUCGAGUCGUCCUGCGCGGAAGAUGUAACGGGGCUAAGCCAGUCACCGAAGCUGCGGAUAUGUCUUUGACAUAUGGUAGGAGAGCGUUCUGUAAGCCUGCGAAGGUGUCUUGUAAAGGAUGCUGGAGGUAUCAGAAGUGCGAAUGCUGACAUGAGUAGCGAUAAAGAGGGUGAAAAGCCCUCUCGCCGAAAGCCCAAGGUUUCCUGUUCAACGUUCAUCGGAGCAGGGUGAGUCGGCCCCUAAGGCGAGGCAGAGAUGCGUAGCUGAUGGGAAGCAGGUUAAUAUUCCUGCACCGUCGUAUGAUGCGAUGGGGGGACGGAUCGCGGAAGGUUGUCUAACUGUUGGAAUAGUUAGUUCUUGACUCAUAGAAGGUGCUUAGGCAAAUCCGGGCACGUAAUUCAAGGGGUUGAGACGAGUGGCUUUAUGCCGCGAAGCAAUCGGAAGUGGUUCCAAGAAAAGCCUCUAAGCUUCAGUCAUACGAGACCGUACCGCAAACCGACACAGGUGGGCGAGAUGAGUAUUCUAAGGCGCUUGAGAGAACUCGGGAGAAG
rnacentral:ncRNA from 1 species